GCGAGGAUGGCGGAAUCUGGCAGACGCGUUGGAUUUAGGAUCCAAUCCUUUUUGGGUGGGGGUUCAACUCCCCCUCCUCGCA
rnacentral:tRNA from 1 species